AUUGAACGCUGGCGGCAUGCCUUACACAUGCAAGUCGAACGGCAGCACGGGGGCAACCCUGGUGGCGAGUGGCGAACGGGUGAGUAAUACAUCGGAACGUGUCCCGUCGUGGGGGAUAACCAGUCGAAAGACUGGCUAAUACCGCAUGAGAUCGAGAGAUGAAAGCGGGGGACCGCAAGGCCUCGCGCGAUGGGAGCGGCCGAUGCCGGAUUAGCUAGUUGGCGGGGUAAAAGCCCACCAAGGCGACGAUCCGUAGCUGGUUUGAGAGAACGACCAGCCACACUGGGACUGAGACACGGCCCAGACUCCUACGGGAGGCAGCAGUGGGGAAUUUUGGACAAUGGGCGCAAGCCUGAUCCAGCCAUGCCGCGUGUGUGAAGAAGGCCUUCGGGUUGUAAAGCACUUUCGGACGGAACGAAAUCGCGCGGGCGAAUACCCCGCGUGGAUGACGGUACCGUAAGAAGAAGCACCGGCUAACUACGUGCCAGCCGCCGCAGUAA
rnacentral:rRNA from 1 species